CGGUAAUUUARAUGUAAUAUMAGAAGGUACAGAAUUGUGAUCUCAUACAACUAGUAUUUAUUUUGUUCUGUUUGCCUAGCAGCAAAACAAGAUAAAACGCUUUUUGUGGACAUUGGGGGGUCGUGAAGACUCUAUCAGUGAGUAUUUGUUCUCGGAAGGACUAGAUAUGAAUAUUGAAUAAUCGGACAUAGUACGAAAAGGUUGUAUGUCUAAAGGGAAACAGCCCAGAACAAGAGUUAAUAAGGUUCCAAAAUUUUUGUUAAGUGAAAUUAAGGCAGUAUUUAUCUCAAUCGGCCAGGGAAUAGGCUUAGAAGCGGCCAUUUUUUGAAGACCUCGUAACAGAGCACUGGUUUUGUUAUACGGAUAAAAGCACCUAAAAUUUAACGGAUCUAAACAAUAUACCGAGACCUUGUCCAUAUGUGCAUGUGUAUGUAUAUGUAUAUUGUAUACUGUAUGUAUGGGGUAGCGGAACAUUGGGUGUGUCUUAGAUUAUUUCUUUAUAAGAACUAAAAUUAAACAGCUCAAGAGAAAAUGCUGACAUGAGUAACGAUAAAGGGGAAUACCCUCGCCUAAAGCUUAUGGAAUUUAGAUAAAGUUACGGCCUCUAAGUUUAUUAUACCUUUUUUAAGUGUAAAAUAUUUUAUAUACCUUUAUAUAAUAAAAAGUCCCUAAAGGGGUAAACGAUGAGCAAAUCUACCUUUUUACUGAAAAUAACAUUUUUCUUUUCAUUAAGCUAUUUUAUGAUAAAUGUUAAAAGAUAAAAGGUGACAAAUGUUCUNGAAAACUGUAAAAAGCAUUUUUAAGAAAAUGAAAAUAUACCGUACCUAAAUACUAACACAAGUAAGCAAGUAGAGUAUACGAAGGCGCUCGAAG
rnacentral:rRNA from 1 species